rnacentral:tRNA from 1 species
AGUUCUAUAGUAAUGUUUAUAUUAGAUUGCAAAUCUAAAGGUGUGGUUAAAAACACUAGAGCUU